rfam:Hordeum vulgare subsp. vulgare, WGS project CAJW01000000 data, contig: morex_contig_192091
UAGAUACUCCCUCCAUCCCAAAAUAAGUGUCUCAAGCUUAGUAAGAUUUUGUAUUAGAGUUAGUACAAAGUCAAAAUCUUACUAAGCUUGAGACACUUAUUUUGGGACGGAGGGAGUAUUAG